GAUGAACGCUGGCGGCGUGCUUAACACAUGCAAGUCGAACGAAGCAGUUUGUUUGGAUCCCUUCGGGGUGACGAACUUAUUGACUGAGUGGCGGACGGGUGAGUAACGCGUGGGUAACCUGCCUUACACAGGGGGAUAACAGUUAGAAAUGACUGCUAAUACCGCAUAACCCGCUAGUACCGCAUGGUACGGACGGAAAAGAUUUAUCGGUGUAAGAUGGACCCGCGUCUGAUUAGCUGGUUGGUGAGGUAACGGCUCACCAAGGCGACGAUCAGUAGCCGGCUUGAGAGAGUGAACGGCCACAUUGGGACUGAGACACGGCCCAAACUCCUACGGGAGGCAGCAGUGGGAAUAUUGCACAAUGGGGGAAACCCUGAUGCAGCGACGCCGCGUGAGUGAAGAAGUAUUUCGGUAUGUAAAGCUCUAUCAGCAGGGAAGAAAUGACGGUACCUGACUAAGAAGCCCCGGCUAACUACGUG
rnacentral:rRNA from 1 species